UACGAAGGGUGCAAGCGUUACUCGGAAUUACUGGGCGUAAAGGGUGCGUAGGUGGUUUGUUAAGUCUGCUGUGAAAUCCCCGGGCUCAACCUGGGAAUGGCAGUGGAUACUGGCAAGCUAGAGUGCGGUAGAGGGUAGUGGAAUUCCCGGUGUAGCAGUGAAAUGCGUAGAGAUCGGGAGGAACACCAGUGGCGAAGGCGGCUACCUGGACCAGCACUGACACUAAAGCACGAAAGCGUGGGGAGCAAACAGG
rnacentral:rRNA from 1 species